UACGGGGGGGGCAAGCGUUGUUCGGAAUUACUGGGCGUAAAGGGCUUGUAGGUGGCUUGUUAAGUCAGACGUGAAAUCCCUCAGCUUAACUGGGGAACUGCGUCUGAUACUGGCGAGCUUGAGUGCAGGAGAGGAACGCGGAAUUCCAGGUGUAGCGGUGAAAUGCGUAGAUAUCUGGAGGAACACCGGUGGCGAAGGCGGCGUUCUGGACUGCAACUGACACUGAUAAACGAAAGCCAGGGUAGCAAACGGG
rnacentral:rRNA from 1 species